rnacentral:rRNA from 1 species
GACGAACGCUGGCGGCGUGCUUAACACAUGCAAGUCGAACGGAAAGGCCCUGCUUUUGUGGGGUGCUCGAGUGGCGAACGGGUGAGUAACACGUGAGUAACCUGCCCUUGACUUUGGGAUAACUUCAGGAAACUGGGGCUAAUACCGGAUAGGAGCUCCUGCUGCAUGGUGGGGGUUGGAAAGUUUCGGCGGUUGGGGAUGGACUCGCGGCUUAUCAGCUUGUUGGUGGGGUAGUGGCUUACCAAGGCCUUGACGGGUAGCCGGCCUGAGAGGGUGACCGGCCACAUUGGGACUGAGAUACGGCACAGACUCCUACGGGAGGCAGCAGUGGGGAAUAUUGCACAAUGGGCGGAAGCCUGAUGCAGCAACGCCGCGUGCGGGAUGACGGCCUUCGGGUUGUAAACCGCUUUCGCCUGUGACGAAGCGUGAGUGACGGUAAUGGGUAAAGAAGCACCGGCUAACUACGUG